AUUGAACGCUGGCGGCAUGCCUUACACAUGCAAGUCGAACGGCAGCACGGGGGCAACCCUGGUGGCGAGUGGCGAACGGGUGAGUAAUGCAUCGGAACGUGCCCAGUAGUGGGGGACAACCAGUCGAAAGAUUGGCUAAUACCGCAUACGACCUAUGGGUGAAAGCGGGGGACCGUAAGGCCUCGCGCUAUUGGAGCGGCCGAUGUCUGAUUAGCUAGUUGGUGAGGUAAAAGCUCACCAAGGCGACGAUCAGUAGCUGGUCUGAGAGGACGACCAGCCACACUGGGACUGAGACACGGCCCAGACUCCUACGGGAGGCAGCAGUGGGGAAUUUUGGACAAUGGGCGCAAGCCUGAUCCAGCCAUGCCGCGUGCGGGAAGAAGGCCUUCGGGUUGUAAACCGCUUUUGGCAGGAACGAAACGGCGACUCUUAAUACGGGUCGUUAGUGACGGUACCUGCAGAAUAAGCACCGGCUAACUACGUGCCAGCCGCCGCGGUAAAAC
rnacentral:rRNA from 1 species